rnacentral:rRNA from 1 species
GUGCCAGCCGCCGCGGUAAUACGUAGGGAGCAAGCGUUGUUCGGAAUUAUUGGGCGUAAAGAGCGCGUAGGCGGUUCGGUAAGUCUGAUGUGAAAUCCCAGAGCUUAACUCUGGAACUGCAUUGGAUACUGCCGAGCUUGAGUGUGGGAGAGGAGAGUGGAAUUCCCAGUGUAGAGGUGAAAUUCGUAGAUAUUGGGAGGAACACCCGUGGCGAAGGCGGCUCUCUGGACCACAACUGACGCUGAGGCGCGAAAGCUAGGGUAGCAAACGGGAUUAGAUACCCCGGUAGUCCUAGCCGUAAACGAUGGGCACUAGGUGUUGGAGGUAUCGACCCCUCCAGUGCCGCAGCUAACGCAUUAAGUGCCCCGCCUGGGGAGUACGGUCGCAAGACUAAAACUCAAAGGAAUUGACGGGGGCCCGCACAAGCGGUGGAGCAUGUGGUUUAAUUCGACGCAACGCGAAGAACCUUACCUGGGCUUGACAUCCCGCGAAGGUGCUGGAAACAGUACUGUCCUUUCGGGGACGCGGUGACAGGUGCUGCAUGGCUGUCGUCAGCUCGUGUCGUGAGAUGUUGGGUUAAGUCCCGCAACGAGCGCAACCCUUACCCUUAGUUGCCAGCGAGUAAUGUCGGGAACUCUAAGGGAACUGCCGGUGAUAAACCGGAGGAAGGUGAGGAUGACGUCAAGUCCUCAUGGCCUUUAUGCCCAGGGCUACACACGUGCUACAAUGGCCGGUACAAAGAGUUGCAAGCCCGCGAGGGGGAGCCAAUCUCAAAAAGCCGGUCUCAGUUCAGAUUGUAGGCUGCAACUCGCCUACAUGAAGGCGGAAUCGCUAGUAAUCCCGGAUCAGCAUGCCGGGGUGAAUACGUUCCCGGGCCUUGUACACACCGCCCGUCACACCACGAAAGUCAGUUGUACCAGAAGUCACUGAGCCAACCCGCAAGGGGGGCAGGUGCCGAAGGUAUGAUUGGUGAUUGGGGUGAAGUCGUAACAAGGUAGCC